UUAUUAUUUGACUGUUACCGCAUUUGGUAGUUAACCAGUCAUAAGUCACCCGCAAACGCACCAAUUUUAACCGCAGUACCAGUCGUACAAAUCUCUUAAAACCGCUAGAAACCGCAACCGCCCGCAUCCACAAACUCCCGCAACCGCAACCGCAACCGCUGCGUUUGAACCAGUCAGACCCUUAGUCUCGUCUAUUUAACAGUUGUAUCUGCUUCUUUGAUAGUGUUCCAAACAAAAUCUGCUUCUUUGAUUUUCAGUUUUAAAAUUAAUGUGUCCUUUUUUUUUUGCAUGAAUGAUACGGUUUACAUUAAGCUUUUUUCUUUUAACUGAGUUUUUUUUUUUUUUUUUUAACACAACUGAGAAUUACAUUACGCUUUUUCUGCUAUGUUGUUACCACAUUGUCUCUCUAGAUUUUCCCAUGCACCAAACAUUCCAAACAAAAAUUACAUUUUUAUUAUUUUUCAGAAGUCUAGAAAUUAAAGAUCUUUUUGUACGACAUUUUGUUAAAUCCGUUAAAUUUUAAGAUAAUUUUGUAUCCUGCAGAAACUAAAUUCUAUAACUAUUUUGCAAAUUUAUGGCUACAAUAAACUACACAGUUUGGAUAAAGCAUCUACAUAAAUCAUUUUUUUAUCUUCCAGAGGUAUACUGAGUCUAGCAGAGCUUUCCUUUACAUCCCAUGGCAACCAUUUCCAACCAAGUUGCUAUAAGUUCAAAUUUAAUUUAUAGUGGAUUUUGAAACUUCAUAUAAAAAUUAAUAUGCACUUAUUCUCCUGAUUAAAUUUACAUAAGUAUUUACCUCUAUAUCUGUGCAUGUAUAUAUAAAGAAUCUCAUUUUUCGUGGAUAUAGUCUUUGAAUAUUGUGUUGCUAUAAUGUAUGUACUUUAAGAAAUAAAAUAUUUAAAAUGGUCAACUUGUCCAUAUAUUUACUUCAUUUGGUUUAAAAGAUAAGAAUUAAUAGAUUGUUAACCAUACUUGGAAUUAGGUAAGGAGUGUACGUAUAUUUGAAGUGGACAUGUUUUGAAGUGUAGAUAAAUAGAAGUUUAAAUCAAGUUUACUGAAACACACGCACACACACACACACACACAAAAUUAACUUGAAUUUUCUGAAGUUGUGUCGUUAAAAGAGCUAAAACUUUUGCUUUAACAAAUGAAAUUUCUUAUUUGUCUUUUGGCUCUAUCAUUUUUGAAUUUGACGGCUAGUUCAUCACGUGUCUCUCCUCAUGGUUUAGAACACAACCAACCAAAAGAUUUCAACAUUGAUAUAGUAAAGACAGUGGUGGUUGGUCAGAGUGGUGCAACUGACUUCAAAACCAUCCAAGAAGCCAUCGACUCCGUUCCCUCUGGUAACAAUAACUGGAUUAAGAUUCAGCUUCAAAACGGAAUCUACUUUUAACCUCUCAUCUUCACUCUUUCUUCUUUUAUCACAUAUAGUUUAAUUAUGAGAUGCAUAACACAAGAAAAAAAAAGAAUCAAGCAAGUUGAGUUUACCAGUGUACGUGUGUUGAUGCAGCGAAAAGAUAGUGAUUCCGCUGGAGAAACAAAAGAUAAUAUUGCAGGGAAACAACCCAUCAGAAGUGAUAAUUCAAUAUAAUGAUGCAGGACAAGCCCAUUUGUGUGGUCCGAUGCUCGUUAACGCCGAGUACUUCGUUGCAAUCAAUGUUACAUUCAAGGUCAGGGUUUAAAUAAUAUAGUUGCUAUGAAAAUCCAUGUUUUAGGAUACUGAUUAAUUCAAGCUCUGUUAAUUAUUUUCGUUCAUAAGCUAUCUUCAACUAGAUUUGUAUGUCUAAAGCCCGUGAAUAACUUUUGCAGUAGUGAUUUUUUUUUUAACAAUUGACGGAUGGUGUACUUUUAAGCUCGUUUCAUUUUUUUAUGGAGAUUAGUUGGAUUAACUUUUAUACAUGUGAUAUCAUAUGAAAUAAUUCUUGUAUAAUAUUGUGAAACUGGCAUCUUGUUUGCGCAGAAUUCUUAUAACAAUAUAACAUCAUCACUAGUACCAUAUAAAGAGGUAAAGGUAGCUCCAUCAAUUGUACUAAUGGCGGACAAGGCGUGGUUCUAUGGCUGCAGUUUCAUCAGUGUCCAAGACACACUGGCUGACUUUGUCGACCGUCAUUACUUCAAAAACUGUUACAUCGAAGGAGCCAUUGAUUUUAUAUGGAGAGGAGGCCAAUCUAUAUACGAAGUAAUUUCAUAUUUAUAUCUUUCAUAAAUUUUGGUUGCGUAUAGAUCUGUUUUGAAUAUUGUCUUACAGAAAAUUAGACCUUAUCGGCCCAUAAUUGCCAAAGGAAUUACUAUAUGGAAAUGUAUUUGUUUGUCAAUGUAGAAAUGCGUGAUAUAUGUUAAAGGAAUGACAAAAGAUGAAAUGGUGGAAGGCGGAGCAAUGUUACCGGGAUUCAUAACCGCGCAAGGGAGGCAAAGCGAGCAAGACACAAGUGGAUUUGUGUUCAAAUACUGCGUGAUAAAAGGAGAUGGAACGGCGUUCUUGGGAAGAGCUUACCGAGGCUACUCUAGAGUUGUCUUUUAUGCAACCAGCAUGUCUAAUGUCAUUGUUCCUCAAGGAUGGGAUGCUUGGCUUAAUAAAGGCGAAGAAGAUAAAAUUACAUUUGCGGAGGUAAAUUGUACGGGAGAAGGAGCGAAUAAGCAAGGAAGAGCUGCAUAGCAGAAGAAUCUUUCUGCUACAGAUGUUGAUUUUCUUGUAAACCCCAACACUUUCAUUGAUAGAGAUAGUUGGAUCUUCACUCUUCCUUAUUCUCUUGUUUCUUUAUAUUCACCAUCUUCCAUUCAGUAAGCGAUCCAUAAUUUGUAAUAUUUUUUCCUUUUACAUUUGUCGUGGGAAUCAUAUAUAAUAUUUUCUUCUUCUAAGUGAAUUAUUGAGGAAAGCUUGAUUGUAUUGAUUCACAAGGUAAUGUAGUUUUACAAAGUCAUUGAUCUAAUGGUCAAUAAUAUGUUAUAUUAGAUAACUACAAUAUGAUAUAUAUCCUUAUCCGAAUACUAAGUUUUUCUAUUAUCUACUGAUCAACAUAAAUACUAGAUUUACUUGAUAUGCUAAUAGCCUAAUAUCAUAUUUUUAAGAUGUCAUUUUGUUACAAUACGGAAAUACUUUUUGUCUCUUGUGAAUAUUCAUCAUUUCCAAGUGGUCGAUCCUCACCAAUUCAAAAAAAACUUCGCGCAGAAUGUUGAAUGCUAAAACUCUGCAUGAAGAGAUUUUGCGUAUCAUAUUAAUAUGCAUAUGGGAUUAGAGCUCCUGUUAUUGUCUCUCUUAAACUUUUCAUUUUGAAACAGUUAAAAUAGGGGUGUCAGCUCAGGUUGGUCCGGCCUGGGCUGGCCCAAACCCGCUAAGUCCGUAAAUAUUUGAGUCCAGCCUGGUCCGAUCCGAAAAUAUUUUGGCCUUAAAAUUCAAAAUCCAGCCCAGUUCUUAUAGGGCUAGGGCUUUUCGAGUUUUUUUGGGCUUUUCGCAAAAUAAUUUGCCAUUGUUACUUCUAUCGUUUUAAUACAUGUGAUUUUUUAAUAAAAAUAGUUUUAUUUUUUAUUUUAAAAUAUAAAGUAAUUUUAAACUUUUAAUCUUUAUCAAAAAUGUUUUACUUUUUGGUAUGCUUUAAAAACAUAUUAUAAACAUACCAAAUUUAAUAAGAUUUAAAUGAUCAAAUAUAAACUACAAUUAAAAUAUAAGAGAACAAAAUUUAUGAUAAACAUGAUCAAACGUUUUUUACUUUGUAGUUUGAAAAAAAAACACGUUAUACAUGAUAGAGAAGAUACAUUUGCAAAAUUUAAAAUGGGACACUUGUAAUGAUCAAACAAUAAAGUACAUUAACAACUUUUAUAUUUGCUUUAUUAAAGUUUCGAUUAAAAUAUUAAAAUUAUAUGUCAAUACUAAUAAUAGUUUUAAUUGCAAAAACGAUAAUAUUUAAGAUAAAAUAUAAAAUUUUGGGUUUUUAGGCCGGUCCUAGCCCAAACAGGUUUAGGCCCAAAAAACCCAAAACUCAAAUGGGCUUCGCCCGAAAGACCCAAAAAUUUUUGGGCUUAUAAAACUAAGCCCAAAUCUAAUAAUUUUUAAGGAUAGACGAGCUCGGACUGCGACCUUCGGCCAUAAUUAACAUGUCUAAGUUAAAUCAUAUUCUUACAUAUAACUUUUGAUUUUAGUCGAACUUUUAGUCACCCAAAAAUAUAUGCUUCUCUUGGGUUUUAUUAAGGUGGUUUUAGGGAAAGAAUCUAAAGAGAAUAUCUGAUCCAAAAUUAAGAAAAUAAUAUAUCUACAUUCUUUUAUUUUUUUAUUUUAUAGAAAUUAAUAUAGAAUAUAAAUAUUCGCAAUUAAUUAAGAUAUGUUUCAUAGAAUCACAGAAUUAUAAAGCAAUAUAUAUUUUUGUAUAACACUAGAAAUAUUAGCAGUUAGUUGUGAAAUAGUAGUCUCUCUUAAAAAAGUAUGUACUAAAAUCUUGGAUAUUUGGUUUGAUUUCUUACCAUUUGAAAGAGAGUCUCAAUUCCCAAUCAAUAAAGUUUUGUCUCAACUCUCAAUCAAUCCCCUCAUCUAAACUCGCACGUACAUACUAACUUGCUUGCUAUGUUGUGACUUUUGAAAAACAUGGGAACCCAAUUAAGACCAGAUCCAUCGGAACAUGUGGAUCACAUAAUAGUUGAUAAAGCUUAACAGAGUUUAUAGUGAUCGUGGGGAAAUGGAUUGGGUUAUACUUACAUAUUCGGACUUCAGGGAUACCUCGCAUUGUUCAUGCGUCAAAAUCAAGAGGCUAAAAAGUUGAGUGAUUAGUUUUGUGUGUUUUUUUGUUUUUCUAAAAUCAAAAUUGAUCACAUAAUAAAGGUACAAAAAUAUGAUCCACCGAGCAGAAAAUAUUUCAAAACAACAAAACCUCACAAGCGUAAAAUCCCCUCAAACCCUCCCUUUACAGUCAAAUCGUCUUUGCCAAAAAAAAAAAAAAA